rnacentral:rRNA from 1 species
UGGGGAAUCUUGCGCAAUGGGCGAAAGCCUGACGCAGCCAUGCCGCGUGGAUGAUGAAGGUCUUAGGAUUGUAAAAUCCUUUCACCGGUGAAGAUAAUGACUGUAGCCGGAGAAGAAGCCCCGGCUAACUUCGUGCCAGCAGCCGCGGUAAUACGAAGGGGGCUAGCGUUGCUCGGAAUUACUGGGCGUAAAGGGAGCGUAGGCGGACAUUUAAGUCAGGGGUGAAAUCCCAGAGCUCAACUCUGGAACUGCCUUUGAUACUGGGUGUCUUGAGUGUGAGAGAGGUAUGUGGAACUCCGAGUGUAGAGGUGAAAUUCGUAGAUAUUCGGAAGAACACCAGUGGCGAAGGCGACAUACUGGCUCAUUACUGACGCUGAGGCUCGAAAGCGUGGGGAGCAAA